CCCUGGGUGGCUCAAACAGUUAAGCACUCAGCUGCUAACUGAAAGGUUGGUGGUUCAAGUCUACCCCGAGGUG
rnacentral:tRNA from 1 species